rnacentral:snRNA from 1 species
GGAUGGCCAUCCAGCUGUGACAUGUGUCACACCAUUGAUCAGCAGGGUUACUUCAGCUGAUCUGGCUGGAUAUGCAGGUGUCCCUUCCUCUCCACUCUGUCUCCCUCCCAAAGCUGUGUGUGUGGUGAAAGAGGACUGUUCUUUGGUGGAGGGUGUCUACAUAACUGUGCUUCCCUUUGAGGACCUCCAAAUAAGUUCUCACAUAGGAGACUCUACAAAAUUAUACAAAAUAAAGAAAGGAAGAAAGGGAGAAGGACGAAGGGGAGUGAGGGAAGAAGUUUUCAGAAUGCCACAUAAAGACCCAAAUACCGGCCUCU